rnacentral:rRNA from 1 species
GACGUAGGGCGCGAGCGUUGUCCGGAUUUAUUGGGCGUAAAGAGCUCGUAGGCGGUUUGUCGCGUCUGCUGUGAAAACCUAAGGCUCAACCUUGGGCUUGCAGUGGGUACGGGCAGACUAGAGUGCGGUAGGGGUGACUGGGAUUCCUGGUGUAGCGGUGGAAUGCGCAGAUAUCAGGAGGAACACCGAUGGCGAAGGCAGGUCACUGGGCCGCAACUGACGCUGAGGAGCGAAAGCAUGGGGAGCGAACAGG